AGCCAAAAUAAUAAUUCCUCUGGCAAAAAAUUUCUAUUUCAAUGAUCUAUUUCAAUCUCAUCGAUCUUCUUAAAAAAGGAAUCUUAAAAGAAGAAAAGAAAGAGAGAGAGAGAGAGAGAAAAGAGGUGCACACCGCGACGUAUAAUACAUACAGAUUCGAGGUUACGUAAGAGAGCCGCAACAGGAAUAAAAAUACACACGGGACAGGAAAGGUGGAGGAGGUGAAGAGAGAAAGCGGAGGGCUGUGUGUUUGCCAUAGCGUAUAUAGAGAAGAGUCGCCUCCUCCGGCUGUCUCGCUGAUAAACGGCUGAUAAGUGAACCGCUGGUAAAUAUAGAACGUCCCGAUGCUCUCUGCUCGGCCACGUAUCGACGAGAUGUCUGCGCGCCGGUGUGCGGAUAUGUCAACGAUACGUGCUCUCUCUCUCUCCCACCACAAACCAUUCAAAUUACGUACCCAACGCUCAAUUUAUAACGCUUACAUCUCGAUAGAAUUCUAUCGAUUCGUCCGAAACGAGGAUUUCUCCAUUAUUAUUGUUGUUCGCUAUAAAUUUUUACGAUUAAUUCUUUCAAGAAUGAUUUUGGACGUAUAAUAACGAUUGAUCGAAUCGCACGAUUCAUUUUGUUGGAUUAAAAAAAAAAAUAUAUAUAAAGGAUAGAUAAUUCGAUAAAUUCGGAUGGUAAAUUUCGUUAAUUAAAUAUGACGAUUGUAAUAUUUGAUUGGAGCAAGCAAGUUGGUGGAAAUAUGAUUUCUACGUAAAUAGAUAACAUGUGGAAGCGUAAAAGCGGAGGUUGAAUAUACGCUUGUAUAUAUACGCUUCCAUUUGCGUGGUCCCUGGCUUGCGAACAGCUUUCGCGAACAGCGUGACUUCCGGUUCUCUAAACCGGAGGCGGAUACGAACCGGAAACACCGACGGAAGGUCGCCGGAAGUGUCGGCGAAGGACAUUGUGCAACUGCUUUCAAGAUUGCGAUUUUUAUCCAACUGGAAAAAAGAAUCGCAACUUUCCUAAUAGCGUUUCCCCUACGUGGAAACGAAUCCUUCCAUUUACUUCGUCCUCGAUAAAAAAAAAAAAAUUUAUAUAAUCUUAAAUUCCAAUGAAAUUAGUUUCGUUUCGAUUUUUCGAAUUCUGAAACGACGAAGUUAAGAGAGAAAUAAUAUCCGAAAGAUUUCGCUCGAAAUUCCUAUCGUUUUACCACGCUUAGGGAAACUGAGAAGAGGAACGUUCAACUCGACUGAAAACAACGAGGGCAACGUUGCCACGCGUACACCCAUCACCCUGCAAAUUAUUUCCAACUUAAAACCUCAUCAAAGGAGAAGACUCGCGAAACGGUCUCGAGAAGCCCAUCGAAGGUUCCAGAAAAAAGAAGAGAAAAAAAGACCUAACCUAAGCAAGCAAGCAAGCAAGGAAGGAGCGCCAUAAAGAAGACCGGGCAUGCGAGAGAGAUAAACAACGCGAAAUAACCGGAUACCAGACCUUUCCGCGCAAAAACGGCUCACCGAUGGAAAAUUAAAUGGCCGGCCGCGCGUGUACGUAUCCGUGUGCGUGCGAGCGUGUGUAUGGGUGUCUGGUGCGCGAGACGGAAUAACAAUUAUAUGGGCCAGUACAACCGAGCGCGUGGGAGGAACCGUGGCAGUCCGACAUAUUGUCAUUAACCUCGUCCCAUCGGCGCGCUGUUUCACGCUCACGGAGUUUAAGCGCAUGUACACGCAAACAGGGACCCCGAGAGCAGUGCAGUUUACGUAACUGUUGCGCUAAACUGUCGUGUAUGAAUCGAUAUCACGCGACCAUCGCCGUUGAUCAACGCCUCUCAGGUAUCGAAGGUUAUGCGAGAGCUUAAGGCGAAAACUUUAAGGUACAAUUUAGAUGAAGAGGCCGUGACGAAGAGGAAAGCUAAAGCUAAAGGUUUCUAGGGAAAUGUUUGAAACGGUGCAGCGUUACGAAACCAGGGCCCGGAAUAAACCAGCGGAAUAAAUCGUGGUAAGAAAAAAAAAAGAAGAAGGAGAAGAAGAAGGAGGGGACGGACGAGUGGUUGGCGUGGGCGGGUAUAAUCUCUUGCGAAGUUUACUCGCGCAUCUACGACACACCGGCAGGUUUAUUGUGCCGGCGACAAACGCCGCCGGAGUACAUCAAACGCGCUUGUUUACGCCAUGUUUGGACGGCGACCUCGUGCGUUCAACGCGCAAUUUCAAAUCCUGCCAUUCCCUUCUUAAAUUUCGCUUUGCAUCUUCUCUUUCCAAUUCAUUAAAAAAAAAAGAAAAAAUAGAAUCUUUUUAAAGCGACGAAAUGACAAUCCGUUGUAACGCGAAGCAGCUUCGUCGGUCAAAAAGAGUCGAGAGCGAAAAGCAAAAAGAGAGGCGUAGCGUCGAUAAAAAAGGGCGAGGAGGCGGAAGGCGAGGGGGAGGGGGAAGGGAUACCGAGAGAGGCGAGGUCCUUUCGCGAUGCAAACAGAGGCGCGCCACGAUCGCUUUUGAUCCCGUAGGAAUGUCGUCGGCCGUGAGAGAAACGAGAGCCCGGCCGUCCCGGUUGAGAUAAGAAAAAUCAUACGACGAGGUACGACGAGGGAAGAUCUCGUACGAGGCCCUCCCUAGUAGUGGCGAAAGUGAGGAGGAGGGGGGUCUUCGUAAUCGGCCUUGAACCCGACCAGGAUCGGUGAUCUCAGCCGUGAAUGUAGAUUCUGAUAAAGGAUGUGGGCGUUCGUGAAGUGAAGAGAGAGAGACAGAAAGAAAGAAAAGGACACAAGGCUGCCACGGAUUGCCAGAACGUUCGUUUCGCGAAUAGCGAAUCCGUGUCCUGCUCGAGUCGCGCCGCCAGCGCCCUCUGCGCUGCCAACGCGAUCAGUGCGAAUCCAAAGGAAUCCAGAUACUCUGUUGGAAUUCUUUUUUUAACCGUGUGUGGAGGGAAAAGAGGGGAGAAACCGUAUUUACUUUGUGCCAAACUGAUAAUAGAAGUCCCGAAGGCAAGUUUAUCAGCAAGUUCGCGUAUCCUUAAAGUUCUUUUUAAAGCGUGCCUCUUCCCUUUCGAUUCUAACCUCUUAAGCGUCUCGGGAUAUCGUUCUUCGACGCUUGCGUUAGGAAAGGAAAAUUCGAUCAUCGACGAUAAGUGUGUGUUUGCCGUGUGUAAAAAUGAGUAUACUUACUAUAUACGAUGAAAAAUUAUUCGUGGACUCACCUGCAACAGAAAAGGAAAAAGAAAAAUCAGAAAAUCACUUCGCUCGUCAAUGAUUUAUCGAUAUUUAUUAACGAUCGAAAAAAAAAAAAGAAAUGAGCAAGAAAAUAGCCAUGAAAACUUUGAUUAACGACUAGUAAAACGGCACUAGUGUUUCGAUUUUUGUGUUAUCAGCGUAUCCCAACGACCGAUGCCCUCCACGUUCUUUCCUUUCUCUCUCUCUCUCUCUCUCUCUCUCUCUUUCUCUAUCUUUCUCUAGGCCAUCUGUGACGUGUUUCUCCUUGAUUCUCACCGAUGUCGUUUAACAAUGCACUCUCGUUGGCUCGGAUAUAACCUCGCCAUUGUCCCCCUAGACAGUUUCAGGCGCGCAAGAAAGAGCGAGCGAGAGAGAGAGAGAGAGAGAGAGAAAGAGAGAAGUGAGAGAGGGGGGAGCGGAGGUUGCCACGAUAUCCCGACGAAAUACAGAAUGUCUGGCUUAACUUGGCGCGAGCAUAAUGCGGACAUUCAGACACAUCGUGGAACAACAAGCGCGAGUAAUAAACCCUCGGUUGUCUGACUUUUUGCAGUGCCAUCUUUUUUCACGACCUCAUCGAUACACUGCUCUCUCUUGGAACGAACUUUUCAAGUUGCUUUAAUGGCAAGUUUCUCGAGUUCGGCCGCGUGUGAAAAUAUUUGAAUUUGGAUUUUGAUGGAAGAAGAGGUUUUCAGAUGGAAAUGCUUGUUGCAGAAACCGGUUGCAACAAGUGGUUACGUGGUCAAUAAGGUUAAUGGGCAAGAUGAGUUUGAGGUUAGGUUGUUCGAGUUUAGCGCAUGAGCGGUCGUACGUAUAUUUCUAUGUUUAAAUUAAUUUAAGUAUAUAAGCAUAAUAAUAUGAAAGGAAAUAUAAUAUAUAUUAUCUGUUAAAAUAUUUUUUAAACGCAAUUAAUCAAUUUUCAACGAAUCGAAUUUUUAUUGCACUCGAAGAGAUUAUACGGAACGGAAGAAAUACGUAAACGGUCACAAAUCAUUCUCGAGUUUCCUCACGAAGAAUCCAUAAAACCAGCCUCGAAAUCAUCAUUGGUACAUUCAAGAUACAAUAAUCACCAGAACAAAUUGACCAAUUCCGUUCGGUAAACAGUGCAUAAUUUAGAUCUGUCAGAGUUCGCGCGCACGUGUUUGGUGCGAAACAAUGAGAAGCGUGCCAAAUUUCUCUGCAAUUUCAUUUUCGUGCGAGAGAUCAAGUUGCAAGGAAAAUAAAAAAAAAAAAAAA